rnacentral:lncRNA from 1 species
AAAAGAUCACAUUAUUUUCACCAAACUAAUCUCUUGAACUUGCUCCACGGCAAUCUUUGAACCUCCUACAAGAAAAGCCAUUAUUUUAAUGUUCAUACGAAUGCCUACAAGCAAUGAUCACAAACAUUUACCGAACAUUUCUUUUAAAGACUUAUGCAACAAUAAUUAGAACCAUAAAAAUAGGGUGAAACUAUGGUAACUACAUUACAUAUCAUCUAGAUUCUAGCAAUAACCGUUUUGCAUGAUCAUUGGCAUUUGGAAUAGCAUCCAACAACAAUUAGAGUUCUAUAAGACCGCAUCUGUACUUAUUUUUUAAGAUGUAUUUGUACUGCCCAAAAGCAUAAGCUGAAGCACAAAAUAAACAUUUAAAUACAUUUGUGCUCACAGGAAUAAUCACACACCUAGAGAGCAUGUUCUUUUCACAUCUUCCCAACUACUCAAUUAGCAAAGCAGCACAUCUACACAUUUUAAUAGCAGGAGCAAAGAAAGAGAGAGAUUGAUAUGAGAGAGUGUCGUUGAAGCACGCUAAGGACUCCCAUCAGCGCUCAACUUGGACGGCUGCCAGCAACCAUGGUGGACGUGCCAGUGGUGGUGCUGCAUGGCCAGAGCAGGCCGCUGGCUGAUAUUCCAACACAUCAUGUUAGCGCACCAGGGAAAUAGCAAGUUUUCCAUAAAAAUGUUAUCCAUACUAGGUAAGACCAAAGCUACAGGACAAUACCUUUUCUUCAGCUAGCUACUACAUGCUACUGCUCCUCCAGCAAUGUAACAUCCCUGUAUCCUCCUUGCGCGGGCAACCAUUGGGAGCAAGCGCUGCUACCGCUCGACACGUUGAACCACCUGUAGGAAUCAAAGUGAACUGAAGGGAUUCAAACACAUCAACGGACACAUGUACUACACAAUAAUUUGCACCUAUACUGUCCAUAACAACAAACUAACAUAAAAACAAUUUAUGAAGGAAACAGUUCUUGAAAUCGGGUUGAGCUUAAACUGUUCAGGAUUUUGAACUCGUG